ACAACUUGUACGCAAAUAAUAUGAGCGUUUCCCCGAUAUGCAUUAAUUGGACGCUGAAAGCUGAAGCGGAGGCUGCUUAUCAAGACACCAGAGCUGUGCCAACAAAGGCCUUAAUAGAUAGAGUGUAGGUCGCUUGGAAGAAUCUACUCGAAUUUAGCUUCAUUCUGUUGUCGCACAUGCAGCGGAGAACAUCAUUUUCCUCAAAUAUUGGUCUAUGACUGAGUUAUCGCUGCCAGUCGUCUCAGCACGUGUUGCUUCCUAUCUGUUUCUUUAUCAGCCUGUCAAAACAACAGUUCCAGUUUCACCAUUUCGCUUCUCAGCCAUGUCUCUGGAGUCUGAUGAUGAACUGAACUACAAACUACUCACCAGAGACAAAGUAGAGGGUGCUUUGGCUAUACAGGCUCAGACCAUGAAACAGGAAAAUCUGGCAAUAGGUUUGGGGAUGUUCGAAGAAGAUGGAGCUCCAGAAGAGAUGUUGUUAGUCUUCAAGGAAGUCAUCAAAGACGGUACAACGUUGAUAGCUGUUGACAAGAAGACGAAUGAAUUAGCAGCCGUGGCGUUCAACAAGCUUCACGCUAGACCCAAAGAAGGAGUAAAGGAUGAGCUAGAGGUGUUCAUAGAGGAGAACCUGAGGCACCAGACGUGCAGGCAGCUUAUCAAGCUUCUCGAUGACACUCAGUGCAGCGUAGAUAUUUUUGAGAGGAACAAUGCAAAUGGGGCGUUGGAGCUGUUUUAUCUUGGCACCAAUCCACGUUACCAAGGCCGAGGGAUCGGUCGCCAAAUGGUCGAAAAGUGUAUCGAGUUCGGUCGAGGACUGUUGAACGGUACAAUGAAGAGAACAUCGAUCGACGGUGACGUUCUGGAGCAGCACGUGCUCCCAGAGAUAAUUUUCGGUGUAUUUGCCUCCAACUACAGCCAACGAAUCGCAGACAAAUUGGGUUUCGAGGUUCUACAUGAGUUUCGAUACGAAGAUCACAGCUUUGCUGGCAGAAAAAUGUCCGAGAGGAUAGGAGACGUUCAUAGAACGGCCAGGUUGCAGGUUUUGAAACUUUAAACAGAACUAAGACGCGCGAGAGAUAGGUUCUGUAGUGAGUUCUUUGAUGUUAUGCUGUUGUGAAAGUUAAAAGUUUAUAAAGACUGUAACAUUUGAAAUGAUUAAUAAAUGAUACUAAACCUUUCGAGAUAUGAAUAUAACAUUCCAAGAAAAAUAAAGGAAGAAAGAAUCCAAAUGGUAGUUCAGUUUGUCUUGCUGUGCCAUGGGUCUUAUCAGACACAUUCUAUUGUCAGAUAUUAAGUAACAAUUAAAUAAUUAAAACUCUUUGAUAGAAUAAUGUUCGAAUUUACAUUCAGAUUCGUUCUCAAUCUCAAACUAAAAUUCAAAUUCAAAUUCAAAUUUCAAUUCGAAUUUAGUAAUUGAAUAAAUAUCGAUACCAGUUUUAGCUAGUCAUUUUUAAAAGACGCAUUUCACCAUCUAGUGAGAGGAUUUCAGAGGAAAAAAGAAAGCAGUGAUGGGCAGAAUCAGUACGAGGGCACUCGAGAUGAAUAUCAAGCCCGACAGUGAAGAGAUUCUACGUUAUCCCACGAGUGUCUCGUGGCUGCUACAUAAUUAACUUCGUUAGUCGGUGGCUGCUUUUCAGUAACUUAAUUGAUCUUGUUAUUCAAACGAGUGAACGACGAGUGGUCGAGUGACGAGAAGAUGAGCUUUAUACGACGACCUUUUUUUUUUUUACCUUUUUUAUAUAAGUAUAUAUAUGUAUGUAUUAACACAUUUACAAUCCGGUACAUAAUUGUUAAAUAUAGUGAAUAUAUUGAGCGUAAUUAUGAAUCCAAACAUCGACCACGGGAAUACGCUUAUUUUCCUUUCUUUUUUAUCAAAUUGCUUUCUUACAAAAUCCCCUCUUUUAAAUACUACAUACGUACUGUUAUGGGAGAUGAUUUCGAGGAGAAAUGCAAUGCGUUACAUGAAAAAAUUGUAACGGAAUUUCUCAAAUAAAAUAUUUUACAAAUAUA